rnacentral:lncRNA from 1 species
UCGUUAUUCAUUAAAAAGAAAGCUGUUCAUUCAAAUGAUCUCACUAAUCGAAUACAAUCGAUUCAUCAACCAAAGAACAAUUAAAACCUAAACAUUUCAAUCCCUAAGUGCUUGUGAAUUUGGUAACCGCCUUAGUCCCCUCAGAGACGGCGUGUUUCGCGAGCUCUCCGGGCAACACAAGCCUAACCGCCGUCUGGAUCUCCCUCGACGUAAUCGUCGGCUUCUUGUUGUACCUAGCGAGCUUCGAUGAUUCCUGCGCCAGUUUCUCGAAUAUGUCGUUGAUGAAACUGUUCAUGAUCCCCAUCGCUUUACCCGAGAUUCCGAUAUCGGGAUGAACCUGCUUCAGGACCUUGAAGAUGUAGAUCUUGUACGUCUCCACGCUCUUCUUCGAUUUCUUCUUCUUCUUGUCGCUUCCUCCUUCCUUCGAGAUCUUCUUCUCCGCUUCUCAUGUUGUUCAGGUUGUGCAAGAGUAAGAUAAUGUAUGUCAAUUGAAAAUGAACUUAAGAAGGAAGUAAGAACUCGUAAAGUUUUUCUCGCAAAAACCAAGAAACAUUUUUGUUAUUUUUUAAUUCAUCACUUAUUUUGUAGGGAUAUAUUUGGGAUUUAUGAAGGUUGUACAGUAGAUUUUCAUAUACCUAAUUAACAUUAUUUUUUAGGUUAUGUAGUGCAAAUUCCUUAUUUUGAGUCAUUUGGGUGUAUAUACAAAAUGAUGUUGGUACUUAGGUAUUUGUGCAAAGUUCAAAAGUAUUUGCAUAAGUGGUAAGAGAAAUGGGGUAAGAUUACAAAUCAAUCCUUACAUUUCUAACAAUAGAUGUUCGAAACAAAAUAAUAAGAAAAUUAAUAGAACAUCGUAUGUCAAAUAUCAUGAUACUGCUACGUACAAAUCAGUGGUCACUGGUCACCAAGGGAACAACACCAUCCCUGGCCAAAGACGCUGGAGUCGGAGUCGGAAAAGGGAAUUUCUAAUAUGGAUUUUUGAGAAAGCUGUUUAUGAAACAGGUGGAAGGGUGUGUUGGAAAGUACACGAAACAUGAGAUUGGUGAGUGCGUAGGGAGGAUCUGGUGGUUCCGGCAAUUCAAGCGGUGAGAGCUUCAAGCGGCACAAGAGGAAACCAAAGCGUAGGUGGAUCGGGAGGAGGACAGAGACACGAUUGAGGAGAAGAGAGCACCGCCGCCAUGAAAAGGAGUAACUGAUUCAAGGGGGAUAGGCUGAGCAAACGAACGGAAGCUGCAAAGGAGAUCCAUGGAGGCGUCUCUCUUAGGAAGUGAAUCGAUUUGAAAAAGAUGGAAGAAAUUGCAGGGUCUUGAAGACAGUUAAAGAUUUUUUAUUCUCAUGUUGUUCAGGUUGUGCAAGAGUAAGAUAAUGUAUGUCAAUUGAAAAUGAACUUAAGAAGGAAGUAAGAACUCGUAAAGUUUUUCUGGCAAAAACCAAGAAACAUUUUUGUUAUUUUUUAAUUCAUCACUUAUUUUGUAGGGAUAUAUUUGGGAUUUAUGAAGGUUGUAUGGUAGAUUUUCAUAUACCUAAUUAACAUUAUUUUUAGGUUAUGUAGUGCAAAUUCUUUAUUUUGAGUCAUUUGGGUGUAUAUACAAAAUGAUGUUGGUAAUUAGGUAUCUGUGCAAAGUUCAAAAGUAUUUGCAUAAGUGGUAAGAGAAAUGAGGUAAAAUUACAAAUCAAUCCUUACAUUUCUAACGAUAGAUGUUCGAAAUAAAAUAAUAAGAAAAUUAAUAGAACAUCGUAUGUCAGAUAUCAUGAUACUGCUGCAUACAAAUCAGUGGUCACUAGUCACCAAGGGAACAACACCAUCCUUGGCCAACGACGCCGGAGUCGGAGUCGGAGUGGGAAAAGAGAAUUUUUGAUAUGGAUUUUUGAGAAAGCUGUUUAUGAAACAGGUGGAAGGGUGUAUCGGAAAGUACACGAAACAUGAGAAAGCUGUUCUUUUUUGAGAAAGCUGUUCUUUUUUUUCUUUAUCUUAAAAACAAAGAACAAAUAUGAAGUUUCUUGUUGGGUUUAAAUACUCUCGUGAACUCACUCAUGCUUUGACAAUUGAAUGAUUCAGUAAAAUUUACAAACUAAACAGUUUUCACAGUGAUCGUUGUCUUGUGUUAUUUACCAAUUAUAUAUUGUUCUUUUUCACUUCAGGUAAUUGUGAGGUUAUUCUAAUUUUCAUGAAUUUGUAGAAAAUGUUGCUGGAAAGUGGAAACAAAGUAAGAAAGAACUCAGCUAAGUUGAAUGCAGAGAAAAGUUUAAGAAUCAUUACUUUGUUGCAAAAAACAAUUUUGGAUUUUCUUUUUGUUUAAUAAUAGUUUUUUUUUUAAAAAAAAUUGUUAGAGUGCAUCAAAGAAUUGAUGCGCUUUAGGCGCCAUAAAACUCUGGACCGACACUAUUUACGAAAUAAUGAGCUACUUCUUUUAAGAACAUUACAAUACGUACAUGGCUUAUUUGUAUCGAUGGCAUUGGUCCCAUUGAAAUUUAAAAUGCAAUUAAAAUAAGAGCCAAAAACCCUUAGGAAGUGGAGAAGCGAACGUAGUAGCAAUGCUUUAACACCGUCUCCAAUGGUAUACAAAAAAUUAAUCUAUAUUACACACUAAAAUAAAAUAACUCAAAUAUAUAGUUGAAUUUACUCUAAUUGUUCACUUUAUAAUAGAAUUACUCUAUAAUAGAGUGAAAUAUAGAGUAAUAUUGUUUUUUACUCCAAAUAUAGAGUAGAAAAUAAACAUUACUCUAUAUUCCACUAUAUUAUAGAGUAACUCUAUUAUACAGUGAACCAUUGGAGCAAAUUCAACUCUAUAAUAGAGUUACUUUAUUUUAGUGUGAAAUAUAGAGAAAUUUUUUGUGUCCCAUUGGAAGUGCCCUAACCCGGUGGUACAAUUAUCAUUUUUAUCACCUUUUUAACAUCCAUAACACAAUAAAUGAGUCCAUUUUUUAUUAUUUAUUCAAACUUAAAAAAUGAAAAAUUUUAAAACUUUCUUGUACCAAAAUUCUAAUUAGGUAAUCUCUAAACGUCACAUUUCUCUCUUUUCUCUAUAUAAGAAAUUUUACUCUUUUUUCAAUCGAACAAAAGAAUAAUUUGUUAGAGCUUAGUUAUUAACUUAUUAUUAUCAUCCGACAACCAUCCAAGAACGAGUUUAAAGAGUUUUCUGGUAAUUUUUUCUAUGAAUAAAAAAAGGAUGGUCAAUGAGGUGUUUGUAGAUACCCAAAAGAGUUAGUAAGAGCAAAAAAAAACUUUCAAACACACAUGCUGGAGUUUAAGCAAUAGGAACUUUAUGGCGGUCAGAACACACAUGCUAGAGACUGGAGUAGAUAAAAUAGUGAGCUUGGACCAGGAACCAGUCUCUUGUUAGGAACUCUAACCUUUUUAAACACUGUUUAAUUCAAACUUCAAAGUUCUGAAAGUACAAACUCAAAAGAAUAUUAGCAAAUACUCAAGGGUCGGUGAUAUAAAUAACUUCAAACGAGCAAAAAGAAACAACAAUCAAUAAUAAAAAAAAAGGUCCAAGCAACAUGCUGGUUUUUAUGGACCAAUUUCAUGGCAUCUAUUUUUCAAACUCCAACUUCCUCAGUUAGCAAAGUUUGUAAUCAAAAGAAGCACUACUUGCGAUCUCCAUACAAGUACGCUGAGUUUACUGAGACAAUUCCAAUGGUCUCCACUCAAUUCUUCCGUUUAGAAUAUUUUAUAAAGCACAAACAAACUGUCUGGAGAAAAUAUGAAUCUCUUGCUUAACCCUCGUCCCAAAAUAACAAGCUUGAAGCAAGAAGAAUCACCAAACAAUUUUCAAACGAAAGCAAAGGGGAGGCUCAAGAUGAAACAAACAUACGCACAAUGAUACACCAGAAACAAUAUGUCACACUAUUGCGUCGCAGAAUAAUCACCCGAAACGUCAAAAACAAGAAAAGACCGACCAUUGGCUAAAUGUCCGAGAACACAGAGAGAUUACGAGCUUCUUCUUCGAUUAGCUAUGUAAAACCGUGACUAGCAAAAUGCAGAGAGGGUAAAAAGAAUCGAGAAAUGAUUGGAGGCAGCAAGCUUCAACUAAGAUUACCAUGCCAAUCACUCUUUUCAAGAGGUUUUAACCGAUUCAGACAUAAACCAGACGGAUAAUAAUUCAACUAAGGAGUUAUUUAAUCAAUCACAGGCAGAGAAACACUACAUUCAUCAAACUAGGAAGAAUCAGAUUCACCAUAUCCAAAAAGAGCAAACCACAGGAACAGACCAAACUUAUUUCAGAAGAUGGAUCUAGCGACUAAAAGACUGGUCAAUCAAUAUCCCAAGAUAUUAUGUGGCCUGUUCAAACAAUUACCGAAACCAUUGGGAUCAUGAAACAAACCCAAGAAAAAAAUUAAUCAGGUAACUGUAGAAUUAAAUCUGAAUCAUAUUGAUAGAGAAUCGUUAUUCAUUAAAAAGAAAGCUGUUCAUUCAAAUGAUCUCACUAAUCGAAUACAAUCGAUUCAUCAACCAAAGAACAAUUAAAA